rnacentral:rRNA from 1 species
AGAGUUUGAUCAUGGCUCAGGAUGAACGCUAGCGGCAGGCCUAAUACAUGCAAGUCGUACGGCAGCACAGUUGCGAGCAAUCGCAACCGGUGGCGAGUGGCGCACGGGUGAGUAACGCGUAUGUAACCUACCCUUCUCCAGGACAUAACUCCGCGAAAGCGGUGCUAAUAUCCUAUAUCAACACUUGAAGACAUCUUCUUGUGUUGAAAGUAGCAAUGCGGUGAAGGAUGGGCAUGCGUCCCAUUAGCUGGUUGGUGAGGUAAUGGCCCACCAAGGCUACGAUGGGUAGGGGUCCUGAGAGGAAAGUCCCCCACACUGGUACUGAGACACGGACCAGACUCCUACGGGAGGCAGCAGUAAGGAAUAUUGGGCAAUGGUCGAAAGACUGACCCAGCCAUGCCGCGUGCAGGAUGAAGGCCCUAUGGGUUGUAAACUGCUUUUAGCCGGGAAUAAUUACCCGUUCUCUAACGGGCUUGAAGGUACCGGCUGAAUAAGCAUCGGCUAACUCCGUGCCAGCAGCCGCGGUAAUACGGAGGAUGCAAGCGUUAUCCGGAUUCACUGGGUUUAAAGGGUGCGCAGGCGGACAUUUAAGUCAGGGGUGAAAUCCUACAGCUUAACUGUAGAACUGCCCUUGAUACUGAAUGCCUAGAGUAAAGUUGAAGUGGGCGGAAUGUGUUGUGUAGCGGUGAAAUGCUUAGAUAUAACACAGAACACCAAUCGCGAAGGCAGCUCACUAAACUUUAACUGACGCUCAUGCACGAAAGCGUGGGGAGCAAACAGGAUUAGAUACCCUGGUAGUCCACGCCGUAAACGAUGAUCACUCGCUGUUGGCGAUAUAUUGUCAGUGGCUAAGCAAAAGUGAUAAGUGAUCCACCUGGGGAGUACGACCGCAAGGGUUGAAACUCAAAUGAAUUGACGG